rnacentral:rRNA from 1 species
AUGGGGUCGUUGGCGGCAGUAGAGCCGCCGCACGCCGUGAUGAUCCCCUACCCGGCGCAGGGCCACAUCACGCCGAUGCUGAAGCUGGCCAAGCUGCUCCACACCAGGGGCUUCCACGUCACCUUCGUCAACAACCAGUUCAACCACCGCCGCCUUCUGCGCUCCCAGUCUGCCGACAAGCUACGUGGCCUGCCCGCGUUCCGGUUCGAUGCCAUCGCUGACGGCCUUCCGCCGUCCGACCGCGAGGCCACGCAGGACACCGCUGCACUGUCCUACUCUACCAUGACCACCUGCCUCCCCAGGCUCAAGGAGCUCAUCAUCAAGCUCAACGAGGAGGCCGGGACCUCCGGCGGCGCGCUGCCGCCUGUGACCUGCGUGGUGGCCGAUGGCACCAUGUGUUUCGCUCUUGUCGCGGCGCGCGAGCUCGGCCUCCGCUGCGCCACGUUCUGGGCCCCCAGCGCCUGUGGUUUCAUGGGCUACUGCUACUACAGGGGUCUAGUCGAACGUGGCCUCUUCCCUCUCAAAGAAGAGGCGCAGUUGACCAAUGGAUACUUGGACGCGAUCAUAAACUGGAUACCGUCGAUGCCCAAGGACCUGCGGCUGCGUGACCUCCCGAGCUUCGUGCGCACCACGGACCCCGAUGACAUCAUGUUCAACUUCUUCAUCCAUGAGACGACCGCCAUGUCGCAGGCGUCGGCGGUGAUCAUCAACACCUUUGACGAGCUCGACGCGCCCCUGCUCGAUGCCAUGUCUAAGUUCCUACCGCCCAUCUACACGGUGGGACCGCUCCAUCUGACAGUUCGCAACAACGUGCCGGAGGACAGCCCUCUCCUUGGCAUCCGCUCCAAUCUUUGGAAGGAACAGGACGCACCUCUCCGGUGGCUCGACGACCAGCCGCCGCGCUCAGUGGUGUAUGUCAAUUUUGGGAGCAUCACGGUGAUGUCAAAUGAGCAUUUGUUGGAAUUCGCCUGGGGGCUGGCCAAUAGCGGCUACACAUUCUUGUGGAACGUACGGCCUGACCUUGUCAAGGGCCACGACAACGCCGUACUUCCGCUGGAGUUCUCCGCGGCGACGGAGGGGCGAAGCAUGCUCUCAACAUGGUGCCCGCAGGAGAAGGUGCUGGAGCACGAGGCCGUAGGGGUGUUUCUCACACACUCCGGGUGGAACUCGUCGUUGGAAGGCAUCUGCGGCGGUGUGCCGAUGGUUUGCUGGCCCUUCUUCACGGAGCAGCAGACCAAUUGCCGGUACAAGUGCACGGAGUGGGGCAUCGGGAUGGAGAUUGGGGAAGAGGUGACGAGAACCGAGGUCGAGGCCAUUCUGCGGGAGGCCAUGGAGGGGGAGAAGGGGCAAGAGAUGCGACGACGUGCGCUAAAGCUCCAGGAGAGCGCCGUUGCCUCAGCGCAGCAUGACGGAAGGUCCAUGCGCAAUGUUGAUAGGCUUAUCCAGGAGGUGCUGCUGGCUUGA